rnacentral:rRNA from 1 species
GACGAACGCUGGCGGCGUGCUUAACACAUGCAAGUCGAACGGAAAGGCCCUGCUUUUGUGGUGUGCUCGAGUGGCGAACGGGUGAGUAACACGUGAGUAACCUGCCCUUGACUUUGGGAUAACUUCAGGAAACUGGGGCUAAUACCGGAUAGGAGCUCCUGCUGCAUGGUUGGGGUUGGAAAGUUUCGGCGGUUGGGGAUGGACUCGCGGCUUAUCAGCUUGUUGGUUGGGUAGUGGCUUACCAAGGCUUUGACGGGUAGCCGGCCUGAGAGGGUGACCGGGCACAUUGGGACUGAGAUACGGACCAGACUCCUACGGGAGACAGCAGUGGGGAAUAUUGCACAAUGGGAGGAAGCCUGAGGCAGAAACGCCGCGUGAGGGAUGACGGCCUUCGGGUUGUAAACCGCUUUCGCCUGUGACGAAGCGUGAGUGACGGUAAUGGGUAAAGAAGCACCGGCUAACUACGUG